AAUCAAUUGGUCUGAUGUAUUUGAGCUGCUAAUGGGAAUGGUGGUUAUUGACUGAACUUCCUCCUUCGUGACUUGAGAUCUCAGCAAUGGCAACUUCCAGCGGCCAGACCUUGGGGAAUAAAGUCACUAACCUUUGAAAGAGCACUACCCUCUCUAGUCUUCGAGAAGUAAUUCCGAAUCUUUCUUUUCUUUCCCUUUGUUUUCUUAAUACAUAGUCUGAAUAAUUUCUGGUCUGCAGGAAAUCAAUGAAACUAGGUGUUGAUCAAAAGAAUUUCCAGAACUUUCAGU
rnacentral:lncRNA from 1 species